rnacentral:rRNA from 1 species
GACGAACCGUGCGAACGUUAUUCGGAAUCACUGGGCUUAAAGCGCGUGUAGGCGGGUGGGAACGUCGGCCACUGAAAGCCCCCGGCUCAACCGGGGAAGGGGUGCCGAGAUGGCCCGCCUGGAGGGGCGUAGGGGGACCUGGAACUUCCGGUGGAGCGGUGAAAUGCGUUGAGAUCGGAAGGAACGCCCGUGGCGAAAGCAAGGUCCUGGACGCCAUCUGACGCUGAGACGCGAAAGCCAGGGGAGCGAACGGG